ACCAUUGAGGGCUUGACCCAAUGUCCGCUGAAAUCAAUUAGAGUCUUUUCAUUGACUUCAGUGGGCUUUGGAUCAGGCCCUGUGUUAGU
rnacentral:pre_miRNA from 1 species